rnacentral:rRNA from 1 species
ACGGGUGAGUAACGCGUAUGCAACUUGCCUAUCAGAGGGGGAUAACCCGGCGAAAGUCGGACUAAUACCGCAUGAAGCAGGGAUCCCGCAUGGGAAUAUUUGCUAAAGAUUCAUCGCUGAUAGAUAGGCAUGCGUUCCAUUAGGCAGUUGGCGGGGUAACGGCCCACCAAACCGACGAUGGAUAGGGGUUCUGAGAGGAAGGUCCCCCACAUUGGUACUGAGACACGGACCAA